rnacentral:rRNA from 1 species
UACGUAGGGAGCGAGCGUUGUCUGGAUUUAUUGGGCGUAAAGAGCGUGUAGGCGGCCCGACAGGUCCGUUGUGAAAACUCGAGGCUCAACCUCGAGACGUCGAUGGAAACCGUCGGGCUAGAGUCCGGAAGAGGAGAGUGGAAUUCCUGGUGUAGCGGUGAAAUGCGCAGAUAUCAGGAGGAACACCCGUGGCGAAAGCGGCUCUCUGGGACGGUACUGACGCUGAGACGCGAAAGCGUGGGGAGCGAACAGG